AGGAAGUUGCCUUGGCCCCAAAGCUCUGUUGAGCCCACACCCAGAUAUUCCAAUCUUAGCUUUAGCAUCGUGCCAAGAAAGAUCACAGAGCAAGAUCAUGAAGCCUACAGAGCCACCUCAGAUAAAACAAACAACAGAAUACUAGUUGCUGAUUACCGCGUGUGCUGCUGGGCACCUGAUAUAACCCAGCUUACAGGAGAGCCGUGUGUCCCCAGCAGAGGUGACAGGAGGGCAGUGAGAGGGAAGGGCGGGGAUCCUAGUCCUUCCUGGCUUGGCCUCAUCCAAGCACUGCCCACCUUGUCUUUACAGAAUCAUGUGGGUCUUCCCACAACUCCUGAGCAUCGUGGUCAAGGGAAAGAAAACUGGAAUAAAGUAAAACAGAUGAGCAAAAGGAAAACACUGGUGUCCGAUCCUAACCCUAAGGCUUGGAAGCUAUGGAAUUUGCUCAGGCCGUUCUAAUUCCCCAGGGAUUUUACUUCUCUUCCUUCUGUAACUGGGAUUUUAACGUCUGCCCUACUUUAGACAGUGGAGAAUCACAAAGGCAAUCACACAGGUGCUGACUGGGACAGCCACCUGUCGCAAAGUGUGAUUUCCCCAGGAAAACAGACUCCGCGAACAUUUUUCCCAACAGGUCCACCAAAACUGAGUUAUUCUGAUCAUCCUAAAUCUGAUUUCCCCCACUUUCUGAUCAGUAGCAUUUUCCUCUCUUCUUUCCUUUGUUUGUUUCUUUCUCUCUUUCCUAGAGAUGUGGGAGGGAGGAAGCUCGGGGUUCUGGCGUCUUUCUGUCCACACGGAGCUGCUUCAGCAUCUGGUAGACUGCACACGACAUUAAUAACUUCCAUUUCACUGUUACCUGAUGGCUUAAGGACACACUUUGUGAUUUGGGGACUGUAAAGCAGAUUUUCUCAAAGGGGGUAUGAUUUUGGCUUUCUAGGGUCUUCGGAUGUCCAGGAACCAAACUUAGCUUGUAAAGACGGGGAAGAGAAGGUCCUGUUCCCAUUUUUCAUGCCGACCUCCUAUCAGAC
rnacentral:lncRNA from 1 species